CUCUCAUGCUUAGGGGGGAGGAGAUGGCAGCCUUAGCACCCUGCUGCUGCGGGCAGCCCAAGAGCAGCCUCCAUGCUGUGAGAGGAAGUGGGAAAUGAGGUCCCAGGGCAGGACUCCAGCUCCCUUAAUUGAUGUACAGCCAACUUUGUCUGCCUGUGUGGAGAUGAAGACAUGCUGAAAGACCGUGUCUGCAUCCUGGUGCGCAGCAAGAGGAUGGUGGAGGGCUGGAGGGGCUCUCCAUUGCCACAGCCACUGCUGGACAUUGCUCACCCAGGGCUGCUCCUUGGGAGCUGUGGGAAGCCCACGCACUGGGCUAUGGCCCAUUAGGGCUAAUGGCAGAGCUGAAGAGCAGGCUGGGCUGUGUGGUGAGAAAGGGAGGACAGCUGGUGACAGGAGCCGUUGAUUUUCUGAGCGGGUACAUGGAAUAACCAACUUGUCAUUCAGUUGCAGGCCAGGUUCAGCGAGAGCUUCAAAACCCCCGUUCGAGCUCGGGUCUGGUAAGGAGUCCAGGUGCUUCCCCUCCCUCGCAGGCGGCGCCUGGCCCAGCCUUCCCUUGGGGUGGCGGGCUGCCCCUCUGGCCUCAAGCUCUGCCCGGCACCCACCUCAGCGUGGGGAAGGCGGAGGCCCCUGGCAGCCCCGAGGCGAGGUGCCGGGAGAGUGCAGGCCGCAGCCCGCUCAGCCGCCCGCCCUCCGCCGCCGGCUCCCCGGGCAGGAAGCGGCUACCACUUCCGGGUCGGCAGCCCGGCAGCGGCGGGGCCCGGGCCGCCCCUCGAUAUGGAUAAAGUGAAGGAUGAAAAAAGUAGGAAGCUCUGCGCAACUUCACAAGAAGAUCUGAGAGGCCGAGGAAAAGAGAAAAGGAAACGAAAACGCAGUAGAAGCAGAUCAUCAUCUGUUACAUCCACAUCGUCUUCUAGUGCUACAUCCACUUCUUCUUCCUCAUCGCGCUCAUCAUCAAGGUCAUCUUCUUCAAGUAGCAGAGAUUCUCCUAAGUCUAAGUCAAAGAAAAAGAAAAAAGAAAAACACAAUAAAAAGGUAAACAUGUACUAAGAGGAAAUAAGUAGUUAACAAACAGAAAAUAGUUCUUUGUAUUUCAGUAACCUUCAAUGUCAUUUAAGACAUAAUGCUUUUGUCUAUCGCUAUGUAAAUCUGACUCAUGCUUUUUAAGGUUACAGCAGGUGAGCUGACAGGUUGACAUAUACUUAACUGGAUACCAGUCAUUGCUGGUCCAGCUAGAAUUCAGAGUAGCCUCUGAAGAAAAGUGAGGGAUCUUGAUAAGUUUAUAUUAUUUCUGACAGAAGAAACUAUUUAGUCAGUGAGAGAGAGUAGUAGAUUCUUGCCAUUGUAUUUUUUCUUUUUCAUUUUAUUAGGACCUUCUGGUCAAUGCUUUUUAUAUAUUGGGGUUACAUUAAAAGAUAGAGAAUCGGGGAUUAGACUGUUUCUGAUUCUCAGGAUCUCAAGGGUUGCUAACCCUGCAGCAUUGCUUUCUCUGUGCUUCAGAUAGUGCCUGUUCAGUGGUGGCAAGGGCAAGCAGUAGUGGCCAUCUGGACUAGCUGGGGUGUUAAGAGCUACUUGUAGGUUUCCUUUUUUUUGCCCUUGUGUAUCUGUAAGCAUAAGAGUACACGUCUUAUACUUGUAGAAAAGGAAAAAGGAGAACAAAAUGAAGAAAAAGAAAGAAAAGAAGAAAAAGAAAGAGAAAACAGGACCUGUCCAGCUUUCCAAGGUAUGCUUGUAUGAGUCUGAACUCUCGUUAUGUUUCUCAUCUAAACGCUUAAUCUGUCCUGUCAUAAAAUGUUUGUAACACCACCACUUUUGUCACCAGCAAAUGGCAACCUGUAUCUAUUGUUUUGCAUAGUUAGGAAGCAUAAAAGAUUAUUGCCUGUAAUUUUAUUUAGGAUUCGUGACGUUACAAAUUAAAGCUUAUCUCUUUGUAAUGUGUGAUCUCAUUUUAGUUCUUUAAAAACAAAAAGAAAAAUGAAAACUACAGCAUGAUAACUGGAAAGAAAAUUAAGAUGAAAAUAAAGAAGACUAAGAAGGAUAAAGAGAGAGACCGGAACCGUGCAGAACUCCUUGAAUUUCUGAACUCUGCCUUAUAAUGGGAAGAGUGCUAACCAAGGACUUGUAAAUAUACCAAGCCAACGAUCAUCAUGCCUAGCAAAACACUAAAGGGAAACUCAGGGAAAAGGACACCAAGUUUGACAAGACCAGACUCUCCCGCUGUGAAGACAAUCGGGAUGUCCUUUUUUAAUGGCAAAACGAAGAGUAACUGAUAACUUGUUAAUGAAGAUCCAUGUCCUCCUUUUGAGAUCCUGAGGUAAUAGCCAGGCUGUGGUGUUGUAGAAGAACCUAAGAGUGUGUCGUCGUUGCCAAUGAUAAGAACUGACACACUGAAGUCCAAUAAUGUAAUUUCUAUCCUAACUGCAUGCGGAACGCACUCUUAAUUUCAAUUGUCUUAAUGUUUCUAGUAGUUCAAACAAAGCAGAGUAUUUGUAAAUGUCUAUUUGAAAGAUGAGUCGUUUCUAUAUGAAUAUUUUUUCCAGUAGUGGUUUUACUUGUCCUAAAGAGCAAGUUGACCUUUGUAAAUAGAACAUGCUUUUACAUAAAUGAUUUUUUGACGGUUCA